GAGCCUGAGGCAGCACAGAGACCAGAGUUACUUCCAUCUAACCAGAUAUUGUACUGGAGCUGCUGGAAUGUGAACCAUCCAGGAUUCCCCUGAGAGAAGUGAAGUGUGGUCAAUGCAUGCAGGAAACAUCAAUCCUUGAGGUGGAUGGGCUACUACAGCAGAAGACCACAUCAGGUUCCACUACUGUCAGCCAACAACAGGAAUCUGAGGCUGUCAUGGGCACAGACUGAAACUGGAUAGUCCAGUUUAACCCAUCCACCUCAAGGUAUCCUUCCCAGGGAACUCGGGGGACAACCUGUAUGGGGGGGCAGCCCAUAGCAGGCCACAACUGCACACAAUACAGAGAAUUUGGAAAUACUAAUCAGCCUACAAUGCAUGUCUUUGGACUGGGGGAGGAAACCUGAGUACCCAGAGGGAGCCCCUAAAGCAUGUGGAAAGCAUUCGAUCCCCCAACCCUGGAGGCAUAAGGCAAACGUGCUGUUGUAUAUUUCAGGAACAACAGAGAACAGAGAAACAAUCCAUUUCUUUUUCUAUAACAGCAUGGCUCAUUGUGUAUUAUUCCAUACAUAUUAAAAUGUUUAUGCUCAGAUCUGUAUUUAGACCUGAAAAUAAGCCAGUUAAAUAGAAAUGACUAAAUAACUCAACUUCUUAUAUAUUCUUAUGUCUCUACACACAUCUGACAUCAAGUGGAUCAAGCAUGUGUCUGAUAUACUGGUUAUACUGGGUAUUUAAAAUACAAUAGCUAAAUAGUGAACAUGAGUCUUAACUCCACAAAUAACAUCUGCUUCCCAGGAAAUAUUAGCAUUUAUCUUUACUGCCUUUACUUUCAUGUCCUAUUAUUCUUUAGCUAAAAAGCAAAAUAAAAAAAAUAAAAAUAACUUUUAAAAAAACAUUCCUUAUAAAUCCAGAGCUGUUCAAAAAGCCACUGAUAUAAAUUCACUUUUCUGCUAUAUUUGUGUUCUUCUGAAUGUAAAACAUAGCAACAAACCUCAGAUUGUCUCACUGUUAUCUAGGUGAUCACUAAAAAUAGUUUUGUCUCUAUGAGACUGGGUAAUUGUCUCUCUGAACUGAAAUAGAAAAGAGAAGGAAACCAGAAAAAAAUAAGAAGAAAAAACAGAAAAUAAAGAAGCCGUGAGAAAGCAGUAGCUAAGCUUAAAGGCAUGGACACACUGCACUCUUGCAGUGCAGUAUACUUUACAACAGGGGGAAAAAUUCCAAUAUUUAGAAUGCAUAAUAAAUUUAUUCUAUUAUAAUGCAUGGUAUACAUAGAGUAAGUAAGGAAUAAAACACAAUGACGUGUGCUGUUAUAGGAAAAUAAUCAAUAGUAUGGUGUGCAGUUUCAUGUAAUCAAUGUUUGAGCUGGAGAUAAAAUAUGAAUUAACUGUUGUAAAUGCUUAUUGACUAGCAUAAUGACAAUGGUUAAAGACUCAUAAUAUUUGAUCAUAAUGUAUCAUAAUUUGUGAAAGUAUAGUGUAAUCACAUUGAAAUGGAGUCUCAUUCUGAGGCAUUAACAUCAGGGGAAAUCUGAAAAUGAUCAGCAUCAUACUCAACACAUACUUAAAGAAAGAUUGAGCUUCUUCGCCCCACUGUUUAAGCAGUUGGGAAAUGGGAAAUGCGUGUUGAGGUAGAAUAGGACUCCAACGGAUAUUACCUUCUCCAUUUGAAACUCAAUUCAGACACCUCAUUUCCAAUGAGGCUUGGUCUUUCUGUCCAUCUCACUGAAAUGACUUAUGACACAACUGAAUGGUUUUCUCUCAGCCUAUUGUCAUGUAAUGCAUUUUAAGCAACAAGUGUGCCACACCUAACGUUUAAAC